GGUUUUUUUUUUUAAUACAAAGUAGAUGUUAAGUUAAACAAUAUAAGCUACUCAUUAAAUAAGAAUAAAAAAAAUAACAAUUAUCAUAAAGUUUUAUAUGCGACUGGCUGUACCGUAUGACCAGUCACAUUUUUAAUAUUUUUUUUUAUAUUUUCUCUCUCAUCUCUUUCUCUCCUCUCUCUCCUCUACCUUCCUCCAUUUUCUCUUCCUAACUUUCUCUCUCUAAUCAUCAAUGGCCGAGCUAGGUCUUCCGCCGCCGUCAGGUUCGUUGUCUCCGUCCAAAUCUCCUCGAAGCUCCAAGCCAUAUCGUCGUCACCGUCUUCGUUUCGUCAUCGUCGAAGCUCCUCGAACUCCAAACCAACCCAAACAUUCGUCGUCAUCUUCAUAUUUGCCGGCGAAAUCAGCCAAAGACCUCCACCUCCGUCGUCGUCCUGUUAAUUGAUUGCUGUUGGAGUUGAGCAAUUGCAAAAUCUCAGGCCAUUUUAACUAUCCUUGGAUGCUUCACCUCCUAAUGUCAUAUAUCAAGACAAUUUUGAAAUCUUUCCAGGCUUUCAAGUCUCAACAUAUUUUUAGAGAAGAAAAUCAGGCUGCAGACUAUGUUGCUUCUCUUGGUUACUCUACUCCGACUCAUCAAGAUAUCGACCCUUUUAUGGAUAGCAAGUUUUCUUAUUUUUUACUCCAUGAUAAAAUUAGGUCACGGGCUUGUAAGAAGACGGUCCUAAUUCUCCCCAUGUACUUUACGUUUUUUUUUUUUUUUUUUUU